CUGAAAAAGGGCUCUGGGAUCCGAUCUCACAUUUUUCAUUUCCCUAGCCGCAGCACCUUCCCACUGCUUGAAUCAGGGCUCUAGGCCCCCAGCCCUACACUGAGGCUCGGUGAAUGAAGGGGGAACCCAAACUGCAGCAUCUCGGCGGGGAUGAGGGAGGGGGCGAAGCCAACAGAGAAGAGGCGAGUGUCCGACUUUCUCUGAGACCAAACCUCCGCCUCCCUCAUCACCCGGUGCUUGAACCGCCGCUCACCCUCUUUCCCGUCCUCAGAUCUCUAAAACUUCCUUCCGUCUCCGCUCCUCCAGAUCCAAAAACUAAGCCUGCUACGGAGAGGGGGCGGCAAGCGGGAAGAGAGGAAGGAAGAAGAGGCAGUGCAGUGUGGGUUGAGGAGGGGGUCCUCUCCACCCCCGCCCCACCCCGAACCAAGCCGCCCCUGGCUUGGCACCUCUAGGUGCUUCCUUGUUUGGAGAACUCCAAGGAAGUCGACGGACUAGCGGGAGAGCUGGCGGGUGGAGCGUUGACUGGUGAUGAAACUGAAAUUCAGCGGGAUAGUCUGAUCUCCUGACUCCUCCACCACUUGCUCACCCCACUCCACAGUGUGGCCUCAAGAGAUAUUGUCUCACAGAUGAGACCACGGAGCUGAGGGCCAGAGUGAAGCCAGUCCCCCUGGCACAGUCCUGGCGCCAGCCAGGGUUUCUCAGUCAGACACUUUGUCUUGGUGGCCACCUAGACUCUUCCCCUAAAUCAAUGUCUGUGUGGUAACUUCAAGACCAGGUAUGUGCCAAGGAAAGCCAUGUGACCACACAGCAAGAAGACACCAUCUGCAAGCCAGGAAGAGAGCCCUCACCAAAGCCCAACUGUACUGGCACCCUGAUCUCAGACUUCCAGCCUCCAGAAGGGAGACAAUAAAU